GACGGAGGGUGCUAGCGUUGUUCGGAAUUACUGGGCGUAAAGGGCGCGUAGGCGGCCCUGUAAGUCGGGUGUGAAAGCCCGGGGCUCAACCCCGGAACGGCACCCGAGACGGCGGGGCUGGAGACCGGGAGAGGAGGGUGGAAUAGCCAGUGUAGAGGUGAAAUUCGUAGAUAUUGGCUGGAACACCGGUGGCGAAAGCGGCUCUCUGGCCCGGUUCUGACGCUGAGGCGCGAAAGCGUGGGGAGCAAACAGG
rnacentral:rRNA from 1 species